CACCAAAUCCAUAUCACCCUGUAGCUCUCAACUGGUUUCUUAUUGAAGCUAAGUAGGGUUGAACCUGGCCAGUACCUGGAUGGGAGACCUCCUGGGGAAAACUUAGGUUGCUGCUGG
rnacentral:rRNA from 1 species